rnacentral:rRNA from 1 species
UACGGGGGGAGCAAGCGUUGUUCGGAUUUACUGGGCGUAAAGGGCUCGUAGGCGGCCAACUAAGUCAGACGUGAAAUCCCUCGGCUUAACCGGGGAACUGCGUCUGAUACUGGAUGGCUAGAGUUUGGGAGAGGGAUGCGGAAUUCCAGGUGUAGCGGUGAAAUGCGUAGAUAUCUGGAGGAACACCGGUGGCGAAGGCGGCAUUCUGGACCGGUAUUGACGCUGAUGAACGAAAGCCAGGGGAGCAAACGGG